rnacentral:lncRNA from 1 species
AAUAUUUUAAUCGUCCGUUUUUUAAAUGUUUUCAAUGUUUGUGUUUUUAAUUUUAACUUUAAUGAGUGUUAUAUACUGUGUCUGACGAUGAUCGGCAUCCAUCGAAACAUGUAACAACAAAAAGCAACAAUUUUUGGAUUUGAUGGAAAGCAACAGCAGAGAGAUCAUUUUCUACGCUGAGGCGAUUGAAAAGCUGGAUGAGGACCAGAAUGACCGAAGACCGCCUGACCGGACUGGCUCUCAUGAAUGUUCACAGGGAUAUAGAAGUGGACAUCAAUAAAAUUAUCGAUCGGUAUUCCAGCAAGAAGAAUAGAAAACUGGAUUUUGUAAUUUAAGGGAAAACAACGUAGUUUUUGUUAAGCCAAAGUAUUUUUGUUUUGUUUUAUAAUUUACUUCUAAUGUCAGUAAUUAAAUCAUACUAAACAUAA